ensembl:lncRNA
AUGGGAGCAGAGCCAGGGGAGGGGGCUGGCGCUGGCCGCCACAGCCCCAUAGGAGCAACCGCAUAUGGCCAGCCAGGCUCGGCAGCCCGUGCGCUAAUCCUGCUGUCAGCCAGGCCGGGUGCCGGAUUAGGAAAUGUCACGUUUCAAAGGAAAUUAUUUCCAUUUUCUCCCCAGGAAGGGAAAAGGCAGAAAGACAAGCAAACUCCCGGGGUCGCGUGUUGGGAGACAGGCCAGCAUCUGGGCCUUAGACAGGCACCUCUCCUCCUCCUCCAACCCCCUCUGCAGACGCCCAGAAAAGUGACAGCAAUCGCCUGGCUGAGUUCAUCCUGGCCAAGGACAAAUGGAUUUCACAGUUUAUCAAGGGAAGAAGGGGCGUGUCAGCGGCUCAUCAACCAUGACCCACCUCUGGUCUCUGCCACCCCUGCACCGGUCACAGCCGCAACUUCACGCCUGACCCCGCUCGCUCAGCUGGCUCUUGGGCCUGGCUUCCUGGGAUCAGCAAGUCUGAGAGAGGCCUCCCCUCCCGGCACGGGAGCAAUCCCAGGCUUCUGCUUAUUGGGAAAUCAAUAAGGAGGCGGGCCCUGCCUGGGCAGGCUGACACGCUGUAUACAGGCCUUCUGCAAACACCAUCAUCUCCUCAGUUAUUAAUGGGCCCUGCUCGCUGCCUCUUCAUUAGUGCUCAAAUAUCAACAGAAAACCGUUUACUUACCACGGGCUCCUGCUUGCGCCGAGCAAAUUUGGACAGGGCUAGGCAAACAGGGAGCUUGUUGUUGGGCUAAUGACAGAGCCCAGUGUAAAGUUUAGCGGCAGCAGAAGCAGGCAGACAGGGCACCAGCCUGCACCUGCCCCCAGGGGGCAGCCCCGCAUGAGCUGGUGGGGAGAGGAAGGCGGGGAGCCACACCAGGGAGAGGUGCACGACCUGGGCUCCAGGCCACACAGCCGUGGUCCUGCACUGGAACCCGUCCACAUUGUGGUCAGCCGUGACCUCUUCAGACCGCCCCUUGGGCCCUAGGAACUAGGCCUGGCAGGAAUGCAAGGUUGCAUGGAACAGUAUGUGACAGAAUGCAAAGUUGCAUGAACAUGAGCUUCAUAGCUACAUGCAGCUCAAGUUCAACUCCCGGACCUGGCUCACUGUGCAGUGAGGUGGACCUUCGUUGGCUUAAGCCUCAGUUUUCCCAUCUGAAAAAUGGAAACUAGAGUAGGGUGAAUCCCAUAGAGAGGCCCUGGCGAUUCUGUGGGAUGGUGCACAACACAGAGCUUGGUACCCAGGAGCCUUACACAGAUGUGGCGUGGACAAAUUUGAGAGUCUCACCCCGAGGCUGUGGCUCAGAGCACAGGGCCAGACUGGCCCAGGUUUCAAGUUCAGGUGCAGCCCCACAGCACCCUCCAGCACUGUGCAUCCAUGAACCCCGCCCCGGGGGCUGAGCCACACCAGACGCUCUGCUCCGUGUGCCCAGCGCAGGCUGAGUCUCGGUAGGCCCCCGCCCCCCGCUGCCUUGCUCUUCUAGACAGAAGAGCUCACGUUGCUGGUGGGAUGUAGUCCCAGUCUUUGGGGCUCAGCUUUGCAGCC